ensembl:lncRNA
UGCUAAGAGCAUUAGUGAUUUUCCUCUUCCGCCUUCCCACACGGGGCCUGAAUGCUUUGCCGGUCAGGAGGCUUAAAGGGACCUGGGGAAUAGCAUGCAGACACUUUUCCAAUAUAUAAUCAUGUGUAUAUAUACAUGAAUAUAAACUCUCUUGCCAGUGUUCCUAAUCCACUGCUGCUCUGGGCCGCUCAUUUCAUUAGACAUGGGCAGCAGGGCUGACAGGCUACGAGGCCUCUUAAAUAUAUGCGCUAAUGGCUACCCAAUCCCACCAAAUGAUGCCGAUGAGCGAUGUGCAUAUUGUUUAAAUCUGCUAAUGUGACUGCUUGGGAAGUGGGUUUGAGAGGGCUGACAUGUGCUGAACUCGGUGUCCUUUUGAGGCAUGGAUUUUUUUGUUUCCAAGACAGGGAGUUCAACAAAACUCUUUUCACGAUUUACGCCAACUUAACAAGGUCGCUCCCAUUGUUUGAAGAGUGGACUGCUCUUUGUGUGCUUUUAUAAAAAUCUGCGGACCAUAUGUAUUGAUUGGUAUAUAAUCUGCCAGCGCCAGAAGGGCUUGAAUCAUUCUGGGUCUGGAGAGAGAAUGCCGAGCCAGUGGUGCUCAUUGGAAAAAAUCUGACAGAUACACAAAGAUUAGCAGAUAUCCACACACACAGACACGCACACAAGCGCACGGAGAGAUGGGGUCUGGCGGGCCCUUAGAGGGCUGAUAAGGGUGGGCUUGGGCGAUGAUGAGGCCCACUCAUGAAUGCAUUGUUCUCCUAAAAGGGGCGGAUCUCCCCUUUGGUUUGGUGGUUAUGAAGCAGGAAUUGAGGAGCAGGGAGAGGGUAAUCUUUAUUGGUUGUGACAGCGGCGGCCAGACAGCUGGGUCCAGUCUUGCUCCAGUGCUUGUUGUACAACAGGCGGGCAUACAAUCACACACACAGACACACUCGCAUCCACACACAUACACACAUGUCUGUGAGCACUGUGCGUGUGAUUACACAGAUACAAACCCAAUCGAGACAAAAAGACAUGUUUUUCAGGGUUGUUUGUCUUUGUUGGCCAAACCCAGGAGGAUAUUGUGUUCAUCACACCUGAAAAUAUGAAACUUUCUGACUGAGCGUUCAUCAUUCUUUCAAGUCAGAGGCGGAGCUACAGAUGGAGCUUGUGCUGAGUGGAGUUAUCAUUUCAGGUAUGAGAAUAAGCUUUAAAUAUGUCAUGGCAAAUAGUUCCUCAAGACAUGAAUGUUCUGUUUGAACAAAUAUGUGGCAGUUGAUGAUAACAAAGCGUGUUUAGAGUGCCAGGACAACGCCUCAACAAGACACACGAAAUAUGCAUAUAGUAUUUACUGUGUCAAUCAUUGCUCCGCACCCCUGUCAUAAAUAAGUGCCGUGUUUAGGUCGGUGGAACCUUAUCAAAGCCGCCCUGCCGAAUGUAAGUGUUUGUUUGUUAAGUCUCCUCUGACCUCAGUCUGUUGGCAUGCUGAGCCACUAAAUAGGGCUGGCUAUAAAAGCAAGGUCCGCACCAACCGAACUCCAUGACAAACCAUUACAGGAUCUGCUCUCAUAGUCGCUGAUGCCACAUAUAAAAAUAGGGUGCCAGAUAGUGCAAUGCGAGGUGACGGAGAUGUCAGUGAGGUAAAAAGUAUUUUCUCAUGAUGUCAUUAAAGCUGCUUAAUAGUCUCUCAGCAGUGUUUCAAGGCAGUAUUUUCACAUUUUUCAUUCUGGCCCAUCAGCGCUUUCGUUGCAAUAAUUGCUUAACUUCACCACAGAGACUAUUUUUUUUUUCUGGAUGGAAAGUAAAUCUGUCACAAACUUAAAGUUGAAUGAAUUCUAUUUGAAUCAUAAAAAGAACGAAGAACAAACACUCGGUAAAUAAUUAAUAGGGAAAUGCUAAUUAUAUAAGACCCAGAAGAAUUAAUUGAAAGUUUACACCUGGGUAAAAUCCUAUAUAAAUAGAAUGAUGUGCUUCCCAUCUGUUAGUACAUGUUUAUGCUACAGAUGAUGUUUUAAUUAAAGUUAGAACAAAUUAGCAACACAGUGACAACAACCCUGAUAACUUUACGUUUUAAGAAUGAAAAAGCGGGUGAACCAACAUAAAUAUUAAUAGAUCCAUCAAUCGACAAAAUGCAAUGGGCGGAAGGCCAAAACACUGAAAAACUCUCUGUACACUACUCAAUGUAAUCUUUCAUCAUGGCUCGUGAAUGUGAGUGAUGGCAUCAGUCCAAUGUCAGCACGGUAGAUACUGGCUAGAGUCAACUUUUCGAGACUUCUAAUGCAACCAAAUAGUCGUUUCAAGCCAUUCUGGGAGUAUCCAUCUAUGAUUACAACAGUUUUUAUCGCAGUGCCACUUACGAGCUAACCUGCACCCCCUGCGAAGUCCAAUCCAGCAAGCAGAUGAGGAGGAGGCUCAGCAUCACCCAUGUUGGUGCAGCUGCCUCUUCUCCGGCCUCAAACCAGCAGCACCAACAGCUGGAAAGACUGAGGCUUUGUCUGGCUCAGUAGGCCGAAAGGGCUUGGAAACCGAUAUUUGACUGGCCGCAGUGUUGAGCUACGGGGUCACGAAAGGGCAUCACUGGCUGCCACUGGAUCAAGACACUCCAUAAUAGAGAAACGGUGUUGUGCUUCCUUGCAUGAAACAGAUAGGAUUGGCCUUUUGUUUGAUAGUUGAGGUAAAUGGUUGGUGAUGAGCUACUUGAAAAGACGGACGGAUGACGGGUCGGCUCUUGAGUACAAAUCUUGGAAAGUUGAUCGGCGAAACAGUGUUGAAUCUCUGGGAAAAUGUAGAACUCAAUGGCGGACUUCUGUGUAACCCAUACUAGAAAAAUGAAUUGCACACAAAUCAAGAACAAUGUUCGAACGAUUGAUCCGCUAAAGGUUUCUUUGCAAGUCAAUGGACAAAAACACAUAAAAGUAAAAAAAUGUUAUAUAUUCCUGCAUGCAGACAACACCAUGUAUCCAUGUGAUUAGCUUAUGUGAGUUCCAUGGGAACCAUGGUGGGACAAUCUUUUCAAAUAAACACACGGGCAAAUCAUAGUGACUCAAUUUCAACAGAUAUGGACAGUUGGAGAUGAAACCCGUAUUCACUGACGGACGGUUUAGUAUUUUGGGGAUGUGUGUUGUUAUUUAAGCAACUUCAUUAUAAUGUUAAAUGUUAUAAGGGCACAUGCAUUCUCAUAUUAGAUAAUAUGGGCUGUAUGUUUUGUUUUUUUGUUAGCAAAACCGCGCUGUCAUUAUCAACAUCAUCAUCACAGAGCACAGUGAACUCUCAGUGGCCUUCAACUUUUAGUCUCUCUCUCUCUGCCUUUCCCUCGCCCUCCCUCUUCUUACCUCUCUGCUGCUGUCACCUCUCACAGAGCCUGGCAGCAGCAAGCCAGCUUGCAUUUUAAUUUGGCCCUGAAGUUACUUAUUUCAUUAUCGAUCAUCCGUAAUGCUGAAUCAAUGUUCAUCUUGUUACGUGGGCCAUACCCGUGUAAUACAGUGAUAGUGGGGCCCGGAGUUACUCAUUCCCUUUACAAAGUGACUUUACCGUAAAAUCAAUGCCUUGUGUUACUGAUACAGGGCAAACUGCAGCAGAUGGAGCGAGCGUGAGUGGAAACAAAAAUACUCACCUUCAAUGCAACAUCGUUAAAAGGCAUAACAAAUAAAUAUGGUAGGAGUAUUGUGUAGUUUAACACAUUACAAUUGGCUCGGGUGGGAUCAAUGUUAUGAACUAUAUCGAUGCUAACGUUUUCAGCUGAUAUCAGUUGGAUUUAAUGCUGUGGUUUGUGUUUUUAAGAAUAUCGCCGGGAAGAUGUAUACAUUAAUUACAUUUGACAUGUUUUGCACAGGUCUGGAUUAUUUUACACUGAUCCCUUGACACAGCACGACCAUAUGAUGCUGAGAAAUAUAAAUCAUUUAAUAUGGUUUAAUCCGGAUUAAUGGAAUGACCUUUUAUUACAAAAACAAUGACAGUUUAAAAGGAAGUAUAAGAAUCCCUUGGGUCAAUAUGAUUUACAUGUAUACCAAGAAAGGUUCUUAACCCUGUUAUUGUGACCUGUCCAGGCCAAAUGAAUUGGUAAACAAACCCGAAUACCCCAAAUAUUCUUUUUUCUAGAACUUCCGUAUGUCUAUAAUCUGGGUUAUAAACACCCUAUAAACAGUGUAAAAGUCUAUAUGCACAUUGCACAUUGUACAGAACGUUUAAGUUGCUGUCCAUCUUAAAACCUGGUUCAGGACCAGAGUCUAAAAUGGAUCUCCAACUCAAUACACUUGCUCAGCCUGACGGCCUGACAUUGUAAAUUUAGUAGUAGCCUACAACCUGAACUCAACAAGUUAAUGUAAAACACUUGCAAGGCAACGCGUUAAUUUACGCUUUGAUCCGAUGUCCUAACCCAGUUUAAUAAGUUGCAGUCCAUUGACUAUUAAUUUGUUUCCAAAUGGUUUGAGCAGGAGAAACCGUUCCAAAAUGCUUUACUUUGGCUAUCUAUUUAAUAUGCAUGAUUGGUUGGUGUAAUGUAAUUAAAAUCACACUAUUGAAAUUAUUCUAACACGGAAAAAAAUUAAACUUUAAAUGUAUUUCAAAGUACACUUGCUUCUGCUGCUAAGAACAAUUAAUUUUUAGAAACUAAUUCAUUUAGUGGAUUAGGCUUCACUGUUCUUUAAACACUGCGAGAUUUAUUGGACCUUUAUUUCACCCUAAUGGGACACGAGUUUCAAAGAGCUUAUUUGGAGAUUGAAUGUGUUGCAGUUAUUUUUGGGGUUACCCACAGAUUUAACUUUGAAAACCGCUGAGGAACAUUUCUGAUUAACAACAACAGUAUGUAUAUUCCCAACAGCUAAGGAUAAUUGCUUUGCAAUAAGAAAUGACAAUACCAAUAGUCACUUGUAUUAAUUACACUCAGACAUUUCCUGCAUGCAUUGCAUUUGCCCUGCCCAACAGCUUUUGAUGAUCACAUUGAAAAGCUGUGAAUCACCCCGGCAAUAUGUCCUAAAUAAUAUGUACAGCGGAAAUUCUCCCGAAACUGACGAUGCCAAAAUUCUGGUGAGUAAAAAAACUCAGCAAAUACCGCUGGCUCUGGUCCCCUUUCAAGAACUGCUGAACAAAACGAGAGCUGCCUCGCCAAGCAAGAAAUCUCUCUCAUGCACACACAAUUACACACACAUACACACAAAUAAACGCACACGUCAAACUUCCAAAAGCGUACAACGGUCAUUAAUUGCCUUUUUCUUUUUGAUAAAAUGUGUUUUUAGUCUUCUUUUUUCCACUGUCACGGUAUAGCGUUGUGGAAGAGAUCUAAAUGUGAGAUUUGAAGCUCCUCUGUUUGAAGCCUUUUGAUCUCGGCUGUUUUGCGGGGCCCCCGGUUCUUCCUUUUGCGACGUGUCGCCGGGGCCCCGUGUAUUGCAUAAGGAACGCCUGUAAAGCGACAGGCCGCGCUGCGCGUUGUGCUUUACGAGAAUGUGUCAUCUGCAUAAAUACCGUCAAAGAGCUCUUUACAAAACGGCCCUGCGCAGUCGCAUCGGCCUCUUUUUACAUGACCCACCAAUAAGAUUGGCUCCCACGAGUCUGGAGAAGUCAUUCGAGUUGUUGUAAGAAACCAUAUGAUAAUAAUGAGAAAUAAAAAUAAUAUUAAAAUAUCGAUAGCAAUAGGUCCAAAAAGAUGUAACGUGGUGGUUUGCAUGGGCUGAGUUUUGGCCUGUGUGUAUGUGUGUGUGUGUGUG